rnacentral:rRNA from 1 species
UACGAAGGGGGGCUAGCGUUGUUCGGAUUUACUGGGCGUAAAGCGCACGUAGGCGGAUUGUUAAGUGAGAGGUGAAAUCCCGGAGCUCAACUCCGGAACUGCCUUUCAUACUGGCAAUCUAGAGUCCGGAAGAGGUGAGUGGAACUCCUAGUGUAGAGGUGGAAUUCGUAGAUAUUAGGAAGAACACCAGUGGCGAAGGCGGCUCAC